AAAAGUAAGAACCCCAGUAAUUAUAGAAAAACUAUUAAGAACAGAGGAAAAAAUAACAGCAAUGACGUUUUUUGGUGUCCAUUCAUGCCAUUCGGGCCUGUCCUCUAAUAUGCACCCGCAAUCCACCAUAGCUGCGGCUCCUUACAAGAUGCACCACUGAAUCUUUUGUCUGCAUAAACAACACCACAACAAGCAGGAAAAAGGGAACAAAUGAACAAGAUCCAUAACAAACGGUGAAACGCUCUUCUCUCCACCUUAAAAAAAAAAUAAUAAAAUAAAAUCCAUCUUCUCUAAAUUUAGCCCAACACCUGUUGCUACAUUCUCUAUUCCUUAAUCCUUUAUCGCUUUGGAGAAAAUUUUUUUUUUAUAUCGCAUUUCUCUCAUCACAAAAUAUACGGCUGUCACCAAAAUAUGGUCACCCCAACUCCUCCGACACUCCCCAUCUCCAAUCCCCAAACUACCACCACCGCCACCGGAUCCACCGCUGCUUCAGCCCAAUCGCAGCCUCCGAUCGCUACUCCUGCCUUCCGCGCCUUCAU
rnacentral:misc_RNA from 1 species